AUGGCCAGUUCCACUCUAACCGAUUUUCUUAAAUAAUGGACCUCUGGUAGUUCCCGAACUUCGGCAUUAGAAGAGGGAUCGGACAUCGAACAUCAGUUAAUUCUCUUGAAGGCAAGUUGAAAGGUCACUUGUGACUUUUGGUUAAAGUACAUCAAAUCAGGACAUAUUACCAUCAUCUCACUCGCCAUUCAUACGUCUAUUCAACCCAAGUCAUAUCUCUUUUCUUGCCGGCAAUACGUCAGAUAAGAAUCAACCUAUCAACAACACACGUGAUGAAAUCUGUAUGAUUCAUCAUUACUAAUCUCCCUAUAAAUAGAGAUAAAAAAAGACUCUCGGGUACACCCCAUGUGUGCUCCAUGCACUCUGUGCUCUCCUACAAUUUUCUCUCCUUUAUUGUGUCAGAUUCCUGACUUGACUGUCGGAGAGUCGUCGCUGGAGCCAACUUCGAUCGGGAUUUGUUUUACAGGAACACUUCGGUGGUCCUUAACUUACUCCAGCCAUAUUCGUACGUGGUCGAAAAUCUUUCGCAACAGAUUGGUGCUAGAAGAAGGGUCAGGCCAUCUUUGAGAAGGAGAAAAGAAAGCUAUUUAACUACCAUAGCACCACGUAAAGAAGCAUCUUCUCAUUGGUCAAAUAUUGCUGUUUCUCAAUCUGUAGAUAAUUCUCCCAACCAGCAAGCUCCGGCACCGUCAUUGGAUAAUCCACUGUCGGUCGCUCCGCUUUCUGGAGCGAUUGUCAGCAUGGACCAGUUCAACCUCUAGUUCAGCAAGUUCGAGAUCUAACCGCAACAGUCUAAGUGAUGCAACAGAAUAACCCUCUACCAUCUGCCAUAUUUUUAACCGAGCAUCCUCAAGUUCCCCCACAAAGACAGACUCACCAGAGUUGCCUAAAAGAGUUGGAGCAUGGUGCAUGGUGGUUUCGGAGUCUUCACUCAGAGUACGACUCUGCUUCGGGUCAUACCUAUUCUCCUCCUUUUAGGGCAUAUACCAUCAG
rnacentral:lncRNA from 1 species